rnacentral:rRNA from 1 species
UACGAAGGGGGCUAGGCGUUGCUCGGAAUUACUGGGCGUAAAGGGCGCGUAGGCGGACAGUUUAGUCAGAGGUGAAAGCCCAGGGCUCAACCUUGGAAUUGCCUUUGAUACUGGCUGUCUUGAGUUCGGGAGAGGUGAGUGGAAUGCCGAGUGUAGAGGUGAAAUUCGUAGAUAUUCGGCGGAACACCAGUGGCGAAGGCGACUCACUGGCCGGAGUACUGACGCUGAGGCGCGAAAG